GAUGAACGCUGGCGGCGUGCCUAAUACAUGCAAGUCGAGCGAACGGACGAGAAGCUAGCUUCUCUGAUGUUAGCGGCGGACGGGGGAGUAACACGUGGAUAACCUACCUAUAAGACUGGGAUAACUUCGGGAAACCGGAGCUAAUACCGGAUAAUAUUUUGAACCGCAUGGUUCAAAAGUGAAAGACGGUCUUGCUGUCACUUAUAGAUGGAUCCGCGCUGCAUUAGCUAGUUGGUAAGGUAACGGCUUACCAAGGCAACGAUGCAUAGCCGACCUGAGAGGGUGAUCGGCCACACUGGAACUGAGACACGGUCCAGACUCCUACGGGAGGCAGCAGUAGGGAAUCUUCCGCAAUGGGCGAAAGCCUGACGGAGCAACGCCGCGUGAGUGAUGAAGGUCUUCGGAUCGUAAAACUCUGUUAUUAGGGAAGAACAUAUGUGUAAGUAACUGUGCACAUCUUGACGGUACCUAAUCAGAAAGCCACGGCUAACUACGUG
rnacentral:rRNA from 1 species